UAGGGAAUCUUCCACAAUGGACGAAAGUCUGAUGGAGCAACGCCGCGUGAGCGAUGAAGGCCUUCGGGUCGUAAAGCUCUGUUGUUAGGGAAGAACAAGUACCGGAGUAACUGCCGGUACCUUGACGGUACCUAACCAGAAAGCCACGGCUAACUACGUGCCAGCAGCCGAGGUAAUACGUAGGUGGCAAGCGUUGUCCGGAAUUAUUGGGCGUAAAGCGCGCGCAGGCGGUCCUUUAAGUCUGAUGUGAAAGCCCACGGCUCAACCGUGGAGGGUCAUUGGAAACUGGGGGACUUGAGUGCAGAAGAGGAAAGCGGAAUUCCACGUGUAGCGGUGAAAUGCGUAGAGAUGUGGAGGAACACCAGUGGCGAAGGCGGCUUUCUGGUCUGUAACUGACGCUGAGGCGCGAAAGCGUGGGGAGCAAACAGGAUUAGAUACCCUGGUAGUCCACGCCGUAAACGAUGAGUGCUAAGUGUUAGAGGGUUUCCGCCCUUUAGUGCUGCAGCUAACGCAUUAAGCACUCCGCCUGGGGAGUACGGCCGCAAGGCUG
rnacentral:rRNA from 1 species